CUUGCACACGCUCCUGCGCUUGACCGCGGUGCAGGCUGGGAACAGGAUGCUGUCAGGCCGAGUGGAAUAACGGCGACGAACCGCAGCAGCAUCCUUUGUUUUUCCUGGGCACAUAAAACAGCCGUGACUCCCAGUGAGACGUCGGAGCAUUUGGACGAGGGACAAAGCAGGACCCGGGACUCGGAGUACAGAAGGAGAUAAGCCCAUAUACAGGUGCAGAUCUGAGCUGCGGAGGAGAGAGUCCGUUUCUUUUGUGCCUUAUUCAAAAACAUCUUCCACUUUGCACUGGACGCUUCUAAAUAUUUACAAUUUAAAAUACUUAUACUUAUUAUAACAUAGGCCCCAUAAAUCAGACUUUAGUGUGUGUGUAAUAUAAAGGUCAAAAUAUAAAACUUCCCUAUUGACAAUUUCCUUUUUGUGAGUCUAUAAUAUCGUUUUAAAAAUCAAAAUCUACAUAUGAAAACAAGCUGUCCAAAUUUUUAGUGGCUCAUUUUUUA